rnacentral:rRNA from 1 species
CCUACGGGAGGCAGCAGUGGGGAAUAUUGCACAAUGGGGGAAACCCUGAUGCAGCGACGCCGCGUGAGUGAAGAAGUAUUUCGGUAUGUAAAGCUCUAUCAGCAGGAACGAGACAAGACGGUACCUGACUAAGAAGCCCCGGCUAACUACGUGCCAGCAGCCGCGGUAAUACGUAGGGGGCAAGCGUUAUCCGGAAUCACUGGGGGUAAAGGGAGCGUAGACGGCUGAGCAAGCCUGAAGGGAAAGGGGGGGGCCCAACCCCCGGACUGCUUUGGGAACUGUACGGCUGGAAUGCAGGAGAGGUAAGUGGAAUUCCUAGUGUAGCGGUGAAAUGCGUAGAUAUUAGGAGGAACACCAGUGGCGAAGGCGGCUUACUGGACUGUAACUGACGUUGAGGCUCGAAAGCGUGGGGAGCAAACAGGAUUAGAUACCCUUGUAGUC